rnacentral:rRNA from 1 species
AGCCUACAAGUCCUUUACUGACGCUAAAGCUCGAAGGUGCGGGUAUCGAACAGGAUUAGAUACCCUGGUAGUCCGCACGGUAAACGAUGGAUGCCCGCUGUUUGCGAUAUAGUGUGAGCGGCCAAGCGAAAGCGUUAAGCAUCCCACCUGGGGAGUACGCCGGCAACGGUGAAACUCAAAGGAAUUGACGGGGGCCCGCACAAGCGGAGGAACAUGUGGUUUAAUUCGAUGAUACGCGAGGAACCUUACCCGGGCUUGAACUGCAGCAGAACGAUUGAGAGAUCAUGAGGUCCUUCGGGACUGCUGUGGAGGUGCUGCAUGGUUGUCGUCAGCUCGUGCCGUGAGGUGUCGGCUUAAGUGCCAUAACGAGCGCAACCCCUCUCUUCAGUUGCCAUCACUUCGGGUGGGCACUCUGGAGACACUGCCACCGUAAGGUGUGAGGAAGGUGGGGAUGACGUCAAAUCAGCACGGCCCUUACGUCCGGGGCUACACACGUGGUACAAUGGGUGGUACAGAGCGUCGGCCGCCGGCAACGUCGGUCCAAUCGUGAAAUCCAUCCUCAGUUCGGACUGGGGUCUGCAACCCGACCCCACGAAGCUG